rnacentral:rRNA from 1 species
GACGAACCGUGCGAACGUUAUUCGGAAUCACUGGGCUUAAAGCGCGUGUAGGCGGGGCGGCACGUCGGUCGCUGAAAUCCCCCGGCUCAACCGGGGAACGGGCGCCGAUACGACCGGCCUGGAGGGACGUAGGGGGACCUGGAACUUCCGGUGGAGCGGUGAAAUGCGUAGAUAUCGAGAGGAACACCUGCGGCGAAGGCGGGUUGCUGGGCUAACACUGACGCUGAUGUGCGAAAGCCAGGGGAGCGAACGGG